rnacentral:rRNA from 1 species
GAUGAACGCUGGCGGCGUGCCUAAUACAUGCAAGUCGAGCGAACAGACGAGGAGCUUGCUCCUUUGACGUUAGCGGCGGACGGGUGAGUAACACGUGGGUAACCUACCUAUAAGACUGGGAUAACUUCGGGAAACCGGAGCUAAUACCGGAUAAUAUUUCGAACCGCAUGGUUCGAUAGUGAAAGAUGGCUUUGCUAUCACUUAUAGAUGGACCUGCGCCGUAUUAGCUAGUUGGUAAGGUAACGGCUUACCAAGGCGACGAUACGUAGCCGACCUGAGAGGGUGGUCGGCCACACGAGAAGGGGAACACGGUCCAGGCUCCUACGAGAGGCAGCAGUAGGGAAUCGUCCGCAGUAGGCGAAAGCCUGGCGGAGCAACGCCGCGUGAGUGAUGACGAUCUUCGGAUCGUAAAACUCUGUUAUUAGGGAAGAACAAACGUGUAAGUAACUGUGCACGUCUUGACGGUACCUAAUCAGAAAGCCACGGCUAACUACGUG